GUUUUUAUACGACCGCAAAAAAAUUUUUGUGGUCGUAUAUUGGUAUGACGUUGGCGUCGUCGUCCGGCGUCGUCUUCGUCGUCGUCGUCGUCGUCGUCCUGCGUCGUCGUCCGAAUACACAUUGGUUUUCGCACUCUAACUUUAGUUUAAGUGAAUGGAUCUUUUUGAAAUUUUACCAUAAGGUUAAAUUCCACAAAAGGAAGGUUGGGAUUGAUUUUGGGGUUUAUGGUACCAACAGUUAAGGAAUUAGGGGCCAAAAAGGGGCCAAAAAUAAGCAUUUUCUAGUUUCCAGACAAUAACUGUGGAACAGUGUAUGGAUCUCUCUGAAAUUAUACUACAAGUUUCCAUACCACAAAGGGAUGGUUAGGAUUUGCUUUGGGGGGUUAUGGCUCAAACCGUUUAGGAAUUAGGGGCAAAAAAGGGGGAAAAACAAGGGUUUCCUUGUUAAUAGACAAUCAAUUUUAUGUACAAUUUUAAAUUUAGAUUGCUUCCCUUACACUGCUUUAAAAUUAUGUACAAAGAAAUUUUGUAUUGUCUUGAGGUGAUUAGCUGUCAAUUUAUUUUUAGAAGUUACUAAUAAAAAUGCUGAUUAAAGAUAUAUUAUUUUUA